AGGACGAACGCUGGCGGCGUGCUUAACACAUGCAAGUCGAACGGAAAGGCCCCUUCGGGGGUACUCGAGUGGCGAACGGGUGAGUAACACGUGGGCAACCUGCCCUCAGCUUCGGGAUAACACUUGGAAACAGGUGCUAAUACCGGAUAAUAACUUGUCAUCGCAUGGUGGUGGGUUCAAAGUUUUUCGGCUGAGGAUGGGCCCGCGGCCUAUCAGCUUGUUGGUGGGGUAAUGGCCUACCAAGGCGACGACGGGUAGCCGGCCUGAGAGGGCGACCGGCCACACUGGGACUGAGACACGGCCCAGACUCCUACGGGAGGCAGCAGUGGGAAUAUUGCGCAAUGGGCGGAAGCCUGACGCAGCGACGCCGCGUGAGGGAUGACGGCCUUCGGGUUGUAAACCGUCUUUCAGCUCUGACGAAGCGCAAGUGACGGUAGGAGCAGAAGAAGCACCGGCCAACUACGUGCCAGCAGCCGC
rnacentral:rRNA from 1 species